GCCCGGGUGGCCCGGGUGGCCUGGGACGGGGGCGGUUUCCGGGCCCGGGCCCGGGUUCGGGCCCGGGUUCGGGCCCGGGUUCGGGCGC
rnacentral:tRNA from 1 species